AGUGAACGCUGGCGGUAGGCCUAACACAUGCAAGUCGAUCUGCAGCACAGUAAGACCUUGCUCCUACGGGUGGCGAGUGGUGGACGGGUGAAGAAUACAUCGGAAUCUACUUAUUCUUGGGGGAUAACGUAGGGAAACUCUCGCUAAUACCGCAUACGACCUACGGGUGAAAUCAGGGUUUCUUCAGUCCUUCCGCGAUUCUAUGAGCCGAUGUCGGAUUAGCUAGUCGGCGGGGUAAGGGCCCACCAAGGCGACGAUCCGCAGCUGGUCUGAGAGGAUGGUCAGCCACACUGGAACUGAGACACGGUCCCGACUCCUACGGGAGGCAGCAGUAGGGAAUAUUGGACAAUGGGCGCAAGCCUGAUCCAGCCAUACCGCGUGGGUGAAGAAGGCCUUCGGGUUGUAAAGCCCUUUUGUUGGGAAAGAAAAGCAGCAGGUUUAUACCCCGCUGUUCUGACGGUACCCAAGGAAAAAGCACCGGCUAACUUCGUG
rnacentral:rRNA from 1 species